UACCUACGGGGGGCAGCAGUGGGGAAUAUUGCACAAUGGGGGGAACCCUGAUGCAGCGACGCCGCGUGAGUGAAGAAGUAUUUCGGUAUGUAAAGCUCUAUCAGCAGGGAAGAAAAUGACGGUACCUGACUAAGAAGCCCCGGCUAACUACGUGCCAGCAGCCGCGGUAAUACGUAGGGGGCAAGCGUUAUCCGGAUUUACUGGGUGUAAAGGGAGCGUAGACGGCAGAGCAAGUCUGGAGUGAAAGGCCGGGGCCCAACCCCGGGACUGCUCUGGAAACUAUUCAACUUGAGUGCAGGAGAGGG
rnacentral:rRNA from 1 species